rnacentral:rRNA from 1 species
CCCUGUGACAAUGUUUAACGGCCGCGGUAUUCUGACCGUGCAAAGGUAGCGUAAUCACUUGUCUUUUAAAUGAAGACCCGUAUGAAAGGCAUCACGAGAGUUCAACUGUCUCUAUUUUCUAAUCAAUGAAAUUGAUCUACCCGUGCAGAAGCGGGUAUAACUACAUUAGACGAGAAGACCCUAUGGAGCUUCAAACACAUAGAUUAAUUAUGUAGAUUAAUUAUUCUACGGAUAUAAAUAAAAAUAUAAUACUUUUAAUUUAACUGUCUUUGGUUGGGGUGACCAAGGGGAAAAAAUUAUCCCCCUUAUCGACCGAGUGUUCUCAAGCACUUAAAAAUUAGAAUUACAAUUCUAAUUAAUAAAAUAUUUACCGAAAAAUGACCCAGGAUUUCCUGAUCAAUGAACCAAGUUACCCUAGGGAUAACAGCGCAAUCCUUUCUCAGAGUCCCUAUCGACGAAAGGGUUUACGACCUCGAUGUUGGAUCAGGACAUCCUAAUGAUGCAGCCGUCAUUAAGGGUUCGUUUGUUCAACGAUUAAUAGUCCUACGUGAUCUGAGUUCAGACCGGA